rnacentral:rRNA from 1 species
GACGAACGCUGGCGGCGUGCUUAACACAUGCAAGUCGAACGGACCGAGUUGAUAGCUUGCUAUUGAUGAGGUUAGUGGCAAACGGGUGAGUAACGCGUAGGCAACCUGCCCUUCAGAUGGGGACAACACCUCGAAAGGGGUGCUAAUACCGAAUGACGUUUCCUGGUCGCAUGACCUGGAAACCAAAGGCCGGGCAACCGGUCACUGAAGGAUGGGCCUGCGUCUGAUUAGCUAGUUGGUGAGAUAACAGCCCACCAAGGCGACGAUCAGUAGCCGACCUGAGAGGGUGAUCGGCCACAUUGGGACUGAGACACGGCCCAAACUCCUACGGGAGGCAGCAGUGGGGAAUAUUGCACAAUGGGGAAACCCUGAUGCAGCAACGCCGCGUGAAGGAUGAAGGUUUUCGGAUCGUAAACUUCUAUCAACAGGGAAGAAAAAAUAGACGGUACCUGAAUAAGAAGCCCGGCUAACUACGUGCCAGCAGCCGCGGU